rnacentral:rRNA from 1 species
GAACCAGUACCGUGAGGGAAAGGCGAAAAGAACCCCUGUGAGGGGAGUGAAAUAGAUCCUGAAACCGUGCACGUACAAGCAGUCGGAGCCCGCUUUGUUGGGUGACGGCGUACCUUUUGUAUAAUGGGUCAGCGACUUAUUCUCAGUAGCGAGGUUAACCGUCUAGGGGAGCCGUAGGGAAACCGAGUCUGAAUAGGGCGUUGAGUUGCUGGGAAUAGACCCGAAACCGGACGAUCUACCCAUGGGCAGGUUGAAGGUGCGGUAACACGCACUGGAGGACCGAACCGGGAUCUGUUGAAAAAGAUUCGGAUGACCUGUGGGUCGGAGUGAAAGGCUAAUCAAGUCCGGAGAUAGCUGGUUCUCCCCGAAAGCUAUUUAGGUAGCGCCUCGGACGAAUACCAUUGGGGGUAGAGCACUGUUUGGGCUAGGGGGUCAUCCCGACUUACCAACCCCAUGCAAACUCCGAAUACCAAUGAGUACUAUCCGGGAGACACACGGCGGGUGCUAACGUCCGUCGUGGAGAGGGAAACAACCCAGACCGCCAGCUAAGGUCCCCAAAUAUUGCUAAGUGGGAAACGAUGUGGGAAGGCUCAGACAGCUAGGAGGUUGGCUUAGAAGCAGCCAUCCUUUAAAGAAAGCGUAAUAGCUCACUAGUCGAGU